CUUUCCCUUCGGGGACAAAGCGACAGGUGGUGCAUGGUUGUCGUCAGCUCGUGUCGUGAGAUGUUGGGUUAAGUCCCGCAACGAGCGCAACCCUUAUUGUUAGUUGCCAUCAUUUAGUUGGGCACUCUAGCGAGACUGCCGGUGACAAACCGGAGGAAGGUGGGGAUGACGUCAAAUCAUCAUGCCCCUUAUGACCUGGGCUACACACGUGCUACAAUGGGAAGUACAACGAGUCGCUAGACCGCGAGGUUAUGCAAAUCUCUUAAAGCUU
rnacentral:rRNA from 1 species